rnacentral:miRNA from 1 species
UGAGAGUAGCCUGAUGAUGGAGUUGCUGAAGAGAAGAUGCAGAUGAAGAGAAGAUGCAGAUGAAGAGAAGAUGUUGCUUCUUGAUGUCU